rnacentral:rRNA from 1 species
GUGCCAGCCGCCGCGGUAAUACCGGCAGCCCGAGUGAUGGCCGAUCUUAUUGGGCCUAAAGCGUCCGUAGCUGGCCGCGCAAGUCCAUCGGGAAAUCCACCCGCCCAACGGGUGGCCGUCCGGUGGAAACUGCACGGCUUGGGACCGGAAGGCGCGACGGGUAUGUCCAGGGUAGGAGUGAAAUCCCGUAAUCCUGGACGGACCGCCGAUGGGGAAACCACCUCAGGAGAACGGAUCCGACAGUGAGGGACGAAAGCCAGGGUCUCCAACCGGAUUAGAAACCCUUGUAGUCC